rnacentral:rRNA from 1 species
UACACACGUGUUACAAUGGGGGGUACAGAGGGCCGCUACCACGCGAGUGGAUGCCAAUCCCUAAAACCCCUCUCAGUUCGGACUGGAGUCUGCAACCCGACUCCACGAAGCUGGAUUCGCUAGUAAUCGCGCAUCAGCCACGGCGCGGUGAAUACGUUCCCGGGCCUUGUACACACCGCCCGUCAAGCCAUGGGAGCCGGGGGUACCUGAAGUGCGUAACCGCGAGGAUCGCCCUAGGGUAAAACUGGUGACUGGGGCUAAGUCGUAACAAGGUACC